CCUACGAGUGGCAGCAGUGAGGAAUAUUGGUCAAUGGACGAGAGUCUGAACCAGCCAAGUAGCGUGCAGGAUGACUGCCCUAUGGGUUGUAAACUUCUUUUAUAUGGGAAUAAAAUGUUCCACGUGUGGGAUGUUGUAUGUACCAUAUGAAUAAGGAUCGGCUAACUCCGUGCCAGCAGCCGCGGUAAUACGGAGGAUCCGAGCGUUAUCCGGAUUUAUUGGGUGUAAAGGGAGCGUAGGUGGAUUGUUAAGUCAGUUGUGAAAGUUUGCGGCUCAACCGUAAAAUUGCAGUUGACACUGGCAGUCUUGAGUACAGUAGAGGUGGGCGGAAUUCGUGGUGUAGCGGUGAAAUGCUUAGAUAUCACGAAGAACUCCGAUUGCGAAGGCAGCUCACUGGACUGCAACUGACACUGAGGCUCGAAAGUGUGGGUAUCAAACAGGAUUAGAUACCCGAGUAGUC
rnacentral:rRNA from 1 species